AUUGAACGCUGGCGGCAUGCCUUACACAUGCAAGUCGAACGGCAGCACGGGGCAACCUGGUGGCGAGUGGCGAACGGGUGAGUAAUGCAUCGGAACGUACCUUUCAGUGGGGGAUAACGUAGCGAAAGUUACGCUAAUACCGCAUAUUCUGUGAGCAGGAAAGCAGGGGAUCGCAAGACCUUGCGCUGAUUGAGCGGCCGAUGUCAGAUUAGCUAGUUGGUGAGGUAAAGGCUCACCAAGGCGACGAUCUGUAGCGGGUCUGAGAGGAUGAUCCGCCAGACUGGACCUGAGACACGGUCCAGGCUCCUACGGGAGGCAGCAGUGGGGAAUUUUGGACAAUGGGGGCAACCCUGAUCCAGCCAUGCCGCGUGAGUGAAGAAGGCCUUCGGGUUGUAAAGCUCUUUCGGCCGGGAAGAAAUCGCACGGGCUAAUACCCUGUGUGGAUGACGGUACCGGAAUAAGAAGCACCGGCUAACUACGUGCCAGCAGCCGCGGUAAUAC
rnacentral:rRNA from 1 species